rnacentral:lncRNA from 1 species
ACUAAAUUCACAUCAGAAUGUCACCAUGUAUAAUCCAUUAUUGGGGGCCCCAAAUCAUAGUUGCCAAUAUCAGCAGUGAGGGGAUAAAAGAAACCAUGGAGGCCGGGCACGGUGGCUCACACCUGUAAUCCCAGCACUUUGGGAGGCCGAGGCGGGCGAAUCACGAGGUCAGGAGUUCGAGACCAGCCUGGCCAACAUAGUGAAACCUCAUCUCUACCAAAA